rnacentral:misc_RNA from 1 species
GAUGAAGAACGUAGCGAAAUGCGAUACUUGGUGUGAAUUGCAGAAUCCCGUGAACCAUCGAGUCUUUGAACGCAAGUUGCGCCCGAAGCCAUUAGGCCGAGGGCACGCCUGCCUGGGCGUCACACGUCGUUGCCCCCCCAUCUACUCCUUCGGGAUUGCGGGGGGCGGAUGAUGGCCUCCCGUGCGCCUCGUCGCGCGGUUGGCCUAAAUGCCAAGUCCUCGGCGACGCACGCCACGACAAUCGGUGGUUGCGAAACCUCGGUUGCCUGUCGUGUGCGGUCGUCGCGCAUCGAGGGCUCGAAAAAAUUGCCGGGCUUCGGCUCGACUUUCAACGCGACCCCAGGUGAGGCGGGGUUACCCGCUGAAUUUAAGCAUAUCAAUAAGCGGAGGA